UACGGAGGGUGCAAGCGUUGUUCGGAAUUAUUGGGCGUAAAGAACGUGUAGGCGGGCCUGUGUGUCAGAUGUGAAAGCCCUCGGCUCAACCGAGGAAGUGCAUCUGAAACUGCAGAUCUUGAGUACGAGAGAGGAGAGUGGAAUUCCCAGUGUAGAGGUGAAAUUCAUAGAUAUUGGGAAGAACACCGGCGGCGAAAGCGGCUCUCUGGCUCGAUACUGACGCUGAGACGUGAAAGCGUGGGUAGCAAACAGG
rnacentral:rRNA from 1 species